GAGAGAGGAAGGGCGGCUGCCGCUGGCAACUUCUUCGCUGGUGUGGAAAGUCCCUCCACCGCUGGACGCACAGGCAUCCGAAAGGGUGCAGGGCGAGAGCUCUGGCUCUGGCACAGAAACGAUACUGCCCUGUGUCAAUGCGAUGAUGCUUCACGGCUGAGGUCGCACAGGAGGCAGAUGAAACGGCGAAACCCUGUGGGUGCAAGCCAAAAUAGAGCAAUUAUGGGGUGUCCAGCCCCGCUCGGGUAUGGCGCUAAGCUAAAUGCUGCCGAAACAAAAGGGGGCUUACUCUCCUCACUC
rnacentral:RNase_P_RNA from 1 species